CUCUUCGCCUUCUACAUCCACACCGGCCGUCUCCGGCACGCCGCCGUCUGCGAGGCAUUCACGCAAGCACCUGGCGGGUAGUGACGGCGCCGCGGCAAAGCCCGCCAAGCCACGGGUGUUCUUCCUCGACGUCAACCCGAUCUGCUUCCGCGGCUCCCAGCGCAGCCUCGGCGCCUUGGCGCGCUGGCUCGCGCUCUUCUUCGCGCACGUCAGCCUCCGCAACCCCGUUGUCGCUGUGAGGACACUAUCCCAGACUCUCUGCUACGGAGGAGUCAUCUUUAGCUGCAGUUAGAACUGUCGGAAAGGAUUAUGCCCAGGACGCUCACAUGAAGCAUGCAGAUUACUUGCGUAAAAACUACAAAGUUCUUAGCCUGAAGAGGGAUGUCAAUGUUCAGAUUGAUGACCGAUGGUUAUCCACGAGGAAUACAUGCAAUGACACCAAUGUUCUAUCUGACUUCAUCAUUAAAUUUGAUGGACGCAGGAGCUAAAUAGGUGGUAGUAUUGUACAAGCUGGGUUUCUACCUCACAGACUACGUAUCAGAGACUUCCGCCGAUGUUGUUGACUUGUUUAAAUAUAGCCGGUCCCAAGUCCGGGUAGAGGAGGAUUAUGAUAGGCUUGGACGCUUUGUGAGACAAUGUAAAAUCCAGCCACUCUUUUCGAGACAAAACCCAUUUUUCGAAUUUGGGUUUCAUUCUCAGAGACUACGUAUCACUUAACAAGAAAAUAGGGAUGUACAACUGUUGAAGGAGACAGUUGCUGAAAACGGAGUAGUCUACCUAGGCUCAAGCUAGCAGCAAUAGAAGCUUGGAAAGCUUAAUAGAAUGUCCAGGAACAAGCUGUAAUAGUAGUACCUACCAUGCUGUAAGAUCCAUCAAGUACCUUGCCAGGAGAUUCCAGAUAGAGGACUGCCUUCUGAUAGCUGCUCGUUGAUGUACAUCGUUAAAUACAGACAGUUUGCUGUAAGUUUGUACUAACACAUAUUUGUAAUC